GACGAACGCUGGCGGCGUGCUUAACACAUGCAAGUCGAACGGAAAGGCCCUGCGUUUGUGGGGUUCUCGAGUGGCGAACGGGUGAGUAACACGUGAGUAACCUGCCCUUGACUUUGGGAUAACUUCAGGAAACUGGGGCUAAUACCGUAUAGGAGCUCCUGCUCCAUGGUGGGGGUUGGAAAGUUUCGGCUGUUGGGGAUGGACUCGCGGCUUAUCAGCUUGUUGGUGGGGUAGUGGCUUACCAAGGCUUUGACGGGUAGCCGGCCUGAGAGGGUGACCGGCCACAUUGGGACUGAGAUAGGGACCAGACGCGUACGGGAGGCAGCAGUGGGGAAUAUUGCCCAAUGGGCGGAAGCCUGAUGAAGCAACGCCGCGUGCGGGAUGACGGCCUUCGGGUUGUAAACCGCUUUCGCCUGUGACGACGCGUGAGUGACGGUAAUGGGUAAAGAAGCACCGGCUAACUACGUG
rnacentral:rRNA from 1 species